UACGGAGGGUGCGAGCGUUAAUCGGAAUUACUGGGCGUAAAGGGUGCGUAGGUGGUUGUGUAAGUUAUCUGUGAAAUCCCCGGGCUCAACCUGGGCAGGUCAGAUAAUACUGCAUAACUCGAGUAUGGGAGAGGGUAGUGGAAUUUCCGGUGUAGCGGUGAAAUGCGUAGAGAUCGGAAGGAACACCAGUGGCGAAGGCGGCUACCUGGCCCAAUACUGACACUGAGGCACGAAAGCGUGGGGAG
rnacentral:rRNA from 1 species